rnacentral:ncRNA from 1 species
CCCGGCAAGCCUCUCAUAGAAGCUCAAACCGCCGGGA